rnacentral:rRNA from 1 species
UUUCAUGGAGAGUUUGAUCCUGGCUCAGGAUGAACGCUGGCGGCGUGCCUAAUACAUGCAAGUCGAGCGAACGGACAAGAGUGCUUGCACUCUUUGAUGUUAGCGGCGGACGGGUGAGUAACACGUGGGUAACCUACCUAUAAGACUGGGAUAACUUCGGGAAACCGGAGCUAAUACCGGAUAAUAUUUUUCUCUGCAUGGAGG